CUGAGUUCAAGUGAUCCUCCUGUUCCAGCCUCCUGAGUAGCUGGGACUACAGUCUGAAGGCGGCUGCUGAAAGGCUCCAAUCCACCGGAACUCUCGGAGUAACCGCCUCCGCCUCCGCCUCCCCUCGCGGGUGUAGACCGAGACUCGCGCGAACGGGAGGGAGUAAGAAUGUUUGCGCAGCCUUCAAACGACUUGGCAGGCAACAAGAGGGAAAAGGCCGCUCCAGGGAGAGUUCAAAUUGAAAUUACACGGAGGGAAGAACGUGCAGAUCAGCGCUGAAGCUCAUUAAAAAAAAA